GGAGGAGUGCGAGAGUGGUUGAAUCGGCAUCCCUGGAAAGGAUGUAUGUCGGAAACGGCAUCAAGGGUUCGAAUCCCUUCUCCUCCGCCA
rnacentral:tRNA from 1 species